rnacentral:pre_miRNA from 1 species
ACAACAUUCGGACCGUCUGUCUAUCAAGCAAUUUCACCCGCUCGAUGGAAGAUCUUUCCUUUGUCGU